GCGGGCGUGGCGAAACUGGCAGACGCGCCAGGUUUAGGUCCUGGUCCUGAAAGGGGUGGAGGUUCGAGUCCUCUCGUCCGCA
rnacentral:tRNA from 1 species